AAACGGCCGCGUUAGCGUGAGCGUGCUAAGGUAGCGUAAUAAAUAGCCUUUUAAUUGGAGGCCAGUGAAUGGCAAGACUAGGAAUACCUGUACCCUUUAUGAAAAAAAAACUUUUCAUCUGAGUGAAAAGACUCAGAUAGCAAAGGAAGACGAAAAGACCCCGCGGAACUUUACCUUUUCCAGCCUUAGCUGCCCAUAAACACAAAAGACAAAAGGUUUGAUUGGGGCAAUCUCGGAACAACCAAGCUUCCGAUUUCCUUAAACAUAAUAUAUACAACUAGAUAAGGACAAAAAAGAAGUUACCCCGGGGAUAACAGCGUAAUCCAGCUCAAGAGUACACAUCGAAAGCUGGGUUUGCGACCUCGAUGUUGGCUUAAGGAUAUCCACAUUAGUGCAAC
rnacentral:rRNA from 1 species